GGUUAAGCGACUAAGCGUACACGGUGGAUGCCCUGGCAGUCAGAGGCGAUGAAGGGCGUGCUAAUCUGCGAUAAGCGCCGGUAAGGUGAUAUGAACCGUUAUAACCGGCGAUACCCGAAUGGGGAAACCCAGUGUGACUCGUCACACUAUCAUUAACUGAAUCCAUAGGUUAAUGAGGCGAACCGGGGGAACUGAAACAUCUAAGUACCCCGAGGAAAAGAAAUCAACCGAGAUUCCCCCAGUAGCGGCGAGCGAACGGGGAGGAGCCCAGAGCCUGAAUCAGCAUGUGUGUUAGUGGAAGCGUCUGGAAAGGCGCGCGAUACAGGGUGACAGCCCCGUACACAAAAGCGCAUGUGCUGUGAGCUCGAUGAGUAGGGCGGGACACGUGGUAUCCUGUCUGAAUAUGGGGGGACCAUCCUCCAAGGCUAAAUACUCCUGACUGACCGAUAGUGAACCAGUACCGUGAGGGAAAGGCGAAAAGAACCCCGGCGAGGGGAGUGAAAAAGAACCUGAAACCGUGUACGUACAAGCAGUGGGAGCCCCACCACCAAAGCAUUCUCUGGUGUUGAAGGCCCUGCAAAGCAGCAUCGCGGUGGCGGAGCGUCGUUUGCGACGCCCAACACACAAAACAAGCGGUGAAUGCUUUGGGGUGGGGUGACUGCGUACCUUUUGUAUAAUGGGUCAGCGACUUAUAUUCUGUAGCAAGGUUAACCGAAUAGGGGAGCCGGAGGGAAACCGAGUCUUAAUUGGGCGUUAAGUUGCAGGGUAUAGACCCGAAACCCGGUGAUCUAGCCAUGGGCAGGUUGAAGGUUGGGUAACACUAACUGGAGGACCGAACCGACUAAUGUUGAAAAAUUAGCGGAUGACCUGUGGCUGGGGGUGAAAGGCCAAUCAAACCGGGAGAUAGCUGGUUCUCCCCGAAAGCUAUUUAGGUAGCGCCUCGUGAAUUCAUCUCCGGGGGUAGAGCACUGUUUCGGCUAGGGGGCCAUCCCGGCUUACCAACCCGAUGCAAACUGCGAAUACCGGAGAAUGUUAUCACGGGAGACACACGGCGGGUGCUAACGUCCGUCGUGAAGAGGGAAACAACCCAGACCGCCAGCUAAGGUCCCAAAGUCAUGGUUAAGUGGGAAACGAUGUGGGAAGGCCCAGACAGCCAGGAUGUUGGCUUAGAAGCAGCCAUCAUUUAAAGAAAGCGUAAUAGCUCACUGGUCGAGUCGGCCUGCGCGGAAGAUGUAACGGGGCUAAACCAUGCACCGAAGCUGCGGCAGCGAACGUAUCACCCAAGACAACUUUACGGAGUUGACGAUUGACGGAGCGAAGCGACGUCAAAGCGUUCAUUAAAGUCGAGUUGGCUUAGGGAUACGUUCGUUGGGUAGGGGAGCGUUCUGUAAGCCUGUGAAGGUGUGUCGUGAGGCAUGCUGGAGGUAUCAGAAGUGCGAAUGCUGACAUAAGUAACGAUAAAGCGGGUGAAAAGCCCGCUCGCCGGAAGACCAAGGGUUCCUGUCCAACGUUAAUCGGGGCAGGGUGAGUCGACCCCUAAGGCGAGGCCGAAAGGCGUAGUCGAUGGGAAACGGGUUAAUAUUCCCGUACUUGGUGUUACUGCGAAGGGGGGACGGAGAAGGCUAUGUUGGCCGGGCGACGGUUGUCCCGGUUUAAGCGUGUAGGUGUGUGUUCCAGGUAAAUCCGGUUCACUUUAACACUGAGGCGUGACGACGAGGCACUACGGUGCUGAAGCAACAAAUGCCCUGCUUCCAGGAAAAGCCUCUAAGCAUCAGGUAACACGAAAUCGUACCCCAAACCGACACAGGUGGUCAGGUAGAGAAUACCAAGGCGCUUGAGAGAACUCGGGUGAAGGAACUAGGCAAAAUGGUGCCGUAACUUCGGGAGAAGGCACGCUGACACGUAGGUGAAGUGAUUUACUCAUGGAGCUGAAGUCAGUCGAAGAUACCAGCUGGCUGCAACUGUUUAUUAAAAACACAGCACUGUGCAAACACGAAAGUGGACGUAUACGGUGUGACGCCUGCCCGGUGCCGGAAGGUUAAUUGAUGGGGUCAGCG
rnacentral:rRNA from 1 species